rnacentral:lncRNA from 1 species
AUGGGGGGGCGGGGCUCCACGGGGCGGGCCCCCCCCCCCACGAGACCUGCGUCAUCACCGGGGGGGGCGGGGGGCCUGGCAGCAUCUCGGACAUCAUCUCCCUGGACUGAGCCGGACCCCCGGGCCCGGAGGAGAGCUGGGCCUGGGCCCUGGACUCACCCAGACCCCCGGACCCCCGGAGGAGAGCUGGGCCUGGGGCCCUGGACUCACCCAGACCCCCGGGGCCCGGAGAAGAGCUGGGCCUGGGGCCCUGGACUCACCCAGACCCCCGGGGCCCAGAGGAGAGCUGGGACUGGGCCCUGGACUCACCCAGACCCCCGGACCCCCGGGGCCCAGAGGAGAGCUGGGACUGGGCCCUGGACUCACCCGGACCCCCGGGGCCCAGAGGAGAGCUGGGACUGGGCCCUGGACUCACCCAGACCCCCGGACCCCCGGGGCCCAGAGGAGAGCUGGGACUGGGCCCUGGACUCACCCGGACCCCCGGGGCCCAGAGGAGAGCUGGGACUGGGCCCUGGACUCACCCGGACCCCCGGGGCCCGGAGGAGAGCUGGGCCUGGGGCCCUGGACUCACCCAGACCCCCAGACCCCCGGGCCCGGAGGAGAGCUGGGCCUGGGGCCCUGGACUCACCCGGACCCCCGGGGCCCAGAGGAGAGCUGGGACUGGGCCCUGGACUCACCCGGACCCCCGGGGCCCGGAGGAGAGCUGGGCCUGGGGCCCUGGACUCACCCAGUCCCCCGGGGCCCAGAGGAGAGCUGGGACUGGGCCCUGGACUCACCCAGACCCCCGGGGCCCGGAGGAGAGCUGGGCCUGGGCCCUGGACUCACCCAGACCCCCGGGGCCCGGAGAAGAGCUGGGCCUGGGCCCUGGACUCACCCAGACCCCCAGACCCCCGGGGCCCGGAGGAGAGCUGGGCCUGGGGCCCUGGACUCACCCAGACCCCCGGGGCCCGGAGGAGAGCUGGGCCUGGGGCCCUGGACUCUCUGAACCUCCGGUGGGCGGGACUCCGGACCAGCAGGGCGUGUCCCAGCGUUCCCAUUGGCUCCCUGAGGAAGGCUAAAGGUCCUAGCGUUCCCAUUGGCUCCCUGAGGAAGGCUAAAGGUCCUAGCGUUCCCAUUGGCUCCCUGAGGAAGGCUAAAGGUCCCAGUGCUCCCAUUGGCUCCCUGAGGAAGGCUAAAGGUCCCAGCGCUCCCAUUGGCUCCCUGAGGAAGGCUAAAGGUCCUAGCGUUCCCAUUGGCUCCCUGAGGAAGGCUAAAGGUCCUAGCGUUCCCAUUGGCUCCCUGAGGUAG